rnacentral:rRNA from 1 species
UGGGGAAUUUUGGACAAUGGGGGCAACCCUGAUCCAGCCAUUCCGCGUGAGUGAAGAAGGCCUUCGGGUUGUAAAGCUCUUUCAGCUGGAACGAAACGGUACGCUCUAACAUAGCGUGCUAAUGACGGUACCAGCAGAAGAAGCACCGGCUAACUACGUGCCAGCAGCCGCGGUAAUACGUAGGGUGCGAGCGUUAAUCGGAAUUACUGGGCGUAAAGCGUGCGCAGGCGGAUUGUUAAGCAAGACGUGAAAUCCCCGGGCUUAACCUGGGAAUGGCGUUUUGAAUUGGCAGUCUAGAGUGUGUCAGAGGGGGGUAGAAUUCCACGUGUAGCAGUGAAAUGCGUAGAGAUGUGGAGGAAUACCAAUGGCGAAGGCAGCCCCCUGGGAUAACACUGACGCUCAUGUACGAAAGCGUGGGUAGCAAACAGGAUUAGAUACCCUGGUAGUCCACGCCCUAAACGAUGUC